UACGUAGGGGGCAAGCGUUGUCCGGAUUUAUUGGGCGUAAAGCGCUCGCAGGUGGUUCAUUGCGUCGUGCGUGAAAGACCCCGGCUCAACUGGGGAGGGUCGUGCGAAGCGGGUGAACUAGAGGCCAGUAGGGGGAUGCGGAAUUCCGGGUGUAGUGGUGGAAUGCGUAGAGAUCCGGAGGAACACCAGCGGCGAAGGCGGCAUCCUGGACUGGUCCUGACACUCAGGAGCGAAAGCGUGGGGAGCGAUCCGG
rnacentral:rRNA from 1 species